rnacentral:lncRNA from 1 species
GAGGGCUCAAUUAACGCUGAAGAAGCUGAACUGACCGCGGGGUGCGGCACGGGGGACCCUCGCGCGUCCACCUAGAGGCGCCGCGCCUUCCACGCGCCUAGCCAGGGCUACAGCGGGCAGUGAUCCGGGAGUCCUCAGCCCUAGGCAGCAGUGGUCGAUGGAAGCCAGCUAUGAUGAGAAACCCCUUUAACCCUUCAGCCCCAACUGUGGCUAAACGACGUCUAUAAGGACCUCUGGUGGCCGCAUCCCUACAGCAACUUCCUGAGAUUCGUGGGAAAACUAGAAGGAUCCGUGUUUGCCAAAUAAACAAACCUUCUCAGACUGCAUCAA